ACUUGUCCCUUUUAUGGCUGGUUCCAAAGGCCUAAAAGCUUUGUGUGGCCUCUGUACAUUCUGCUGUUUCCUCACCCCUCACCCAUCACUGCACUGGCCCCUAUUCUCUGGGUGCCUAAGGAAAAGAAGAAGGUGUCCCUGACCAAACUGUUCUCAAGAAGUGACCAUGAAAAAGCUUUCUCCCCUACCACAAAACAGUGUCCAGGCUGGACCUUCCACAGGAAUGAGGAUUCAGUGAUUCUCCACUUCAUGUGGCCACAAAGAGGUGCUUGGUAAUGUCCGCUUGAUGGAUGGCUGGACAAGAUACGUGACUGUGGGUGAAGAAGGCAAUCUUGGCAUACUCCUCCACAAGACAAAGACCUGCUUAACAGUGAAAACCAAUCAAAUCACAGCUUUCCUAUGUUGUAGCCUUUAUCCUGGGGGAAGCAAGCUGCCAUAUUUUGACUAGCUUCUAAACAGAAGCCCAUUUGCCAAAAAACUGAUGUGUCCAACCAAAGCCAGUGAGGCCAAGAAGCUUGCCAAUAGGCACUUGAGGGAACUUGGAAGGGGUUCUCUCUACCUUCAGCCUUGAGACAACUGUAGUCCUAGCCGAUAUUGCUUACAGCCGGUGAAAGAUACUGCAUCAAACAC